AUACUUACCGGGCAGGGGAGAUACCACAUCACAAAGGUGGUUUUCCCAGGGCGCGGCUCAUCCAUUGCACUCCAGAUGUGCUGACCCCUGGGAUUUCCCCAAAUGUGGGAAACUCGACUGUGUAACAUGUGGUAGUGGGGGGCUGCAUUUGUGCUUUCCCCUA
ensembl:snRNA U1 U1 spliceosomal RNA